rnacentral:rRNA from 1 species
GAUGAACGCUGGCGGCGUGCCUAACACAUGCAAGUCGAGCGAACAGACGAGGAGCUUGCUCCUCUGACGUUAGCGGCGGACGGGUGAGUAACACGUGGAUAACCUACCUAUAAGACUGGGAUAACUUCGGGAAACCGGAUCUAAUACCGGAUAAUAUAUUGCACCGCAUGGUUCAAUAGUGAAAGACGGUUUUGCUGUCACUUAUAGAUGGACCCGCGCCGCAUUAGUUAGUUGGUGAGGUAACGGCUUACCAAGGCAAGGAGGCGUAGCCGACCUCAGAGGGUGAACGGCUAGCCUGGAAGAGAGGCAGGGCCCCGACUCCUACGGGAAGCAGCAGUCGGGAAUCUUCCGCAAGGGGCGAGAGCCUGACAGAGCAACGCCGCGGGAGUGAUGAAGGUGUUCGGAUCGUAAAGCUCUGUUAUUAGGAAAGAUGAAAUGCGUAAGUAACUAUGCUGGUCUUGACGGUACCGGAACAAUAAGCCACGGCUAACUACGUG